GAGAAGGUGAUGAUUCUAGAGUGAAAGAACCGACUUCUAGAGCUAAAGGUUCUUUAUCUUUUUCACUCAAAUUGAUAAUAAUUUCGGAUGCAAAUUCUUCUAUUAGGUUAAUCUCAGUACUAACCUCCUUUUCUAAAUUCAUACUUUGGCUAGCAUUAGUACUAGCCUCACUCACCUAAACUUGGUAUGAGUCCUUAAGAAUCCUAUCACUUUUAAGCUCAG
rnacentral:lncRNA from 1 species